GACGAACGCUGGCGGCGUGCUUAACACAUGCAAGUCGAACGGAAAGGCCCUGCUUUUGUGGGGUGCUCGAGUGGCGAACGGGUGAGUAACACGUGAGUAACCUGCCCUUGACUUUGGGAUAACUUCAGGAAACUGGGGCUAAUACCGGAUAGGAGCUCCUGCUGCAUGGUGGGGGUUGGAAAGUUUCGGCGGUUGGGGAUGGACUCGCGGCUUAUCAGCUUGUUGGUGGGGUAGUGGCUUACCAAGGCUUUGACGGGUAGCCGGCCUGAGAGGGUGACCGGCCACAUUGGGACUGAGAUACGGCCCAGACUCCUACGGGAGGCAGCAGUGGGGAAUAUUGCACGAUGGGCGGAAGCCUGAUGCAGCAACGCCGCGUGCGGGAUGACGGCCUUCGGGUUGUAAACCGCUUUCGCCUGUGCCGAAGCGUGAGUGACGGUAAUGGGUAAAGAAGCACCGGCUAACUCCGUG
rnacentral:rRNA from 1 species